UAUUCGAGACUUCACGAGUUAAU
rnacentral:miRNA from 1 species